rnacentral:rRNA from 1 species
UACGUAGGGUGCGAGCGUUGUCCGGAAUUAUUGGGCGUAAAGAGCUCGUAGGCGGUUCGGUAAGUCAGGUGUGAAAACUCCAGGCUCAACUUGGAGACGCCACCUGAUACUGUCGUGACUAGAGUCCGGUAGGGGAGCAUGGAAUUCCUGGUGUAGCGGUGAAAUGCGCAGAUAUCAGGAGGAACACCAGCGGCGAAGGCGGUGCUCUGGGCCGGAACUGACGCUGAGGAGCGAAAGCGUGGGGAGCGAACAGG